rnacentral:lncRNA from 1 species
GCUAAAAGCACCAAGAAUAUUGGUAAAUAUGGGAGCAGAUAGUGUGCCCACUUCCAGAAAAUGGUAAAGAAAAUUGAAAUCAGCCAGUGUAACAAGUUCACUUCCUUCUUCUGUGGCAACACCAAGAUGAAGAGGUAGGCAAUGAGCUCCAGGCACUGUGGUUUCUGCAUAGAAAUAGCUGCUGGAGGGGCCUGGACCUUCAGUCAGCUCUGCUAG